rnacentral:lncRNA from 1 species
CCUGUAACAGCCCGAUCCCCCGGCGUCCGACCGGGGUUAUCGAAGGGGCGUUAUGGACACGUGUCUACUCAUUUAGACAACCCUACGUGUCCCGUUACUGGUCCCGAGAGACGAGCGCAUAACCUUCUUUGAAAUACCGUCACACCCACAUCCAUAUACUUCUACUUACAGUCCUGCGCACAGGAAAAAUGGAAAUGGAGGAGUGAGCAACAAGUUACUCAGUGAAGUGGCUCUAGACCAGCCUGCCCGCAUGACACUCUAUACUACUCUAUGCGGGAACUAGGACUGACUAGCCACUACAAUCAGUUAAUGCAUUUUAUCAUUUCUUAUCGUCAUCUGUAAUUUCCACAUUCAAUUCCAUAAAUUUCUAACAACCUAGUGAUCAAUCAAUACAAUGAUCUCACUCAUUGCCACACACGUCAAACCCUAGACUUAACCGACUCAACUUACCAAUCUGACUCGAUCCUAUGACACCUUUAACUCCCCGUUACCCGACCAUGAGCUAAAGACCCUACAAUGCACGUCCUUAUCAUCAAUAUGUCAUUAUCAUCAGUGGGUAGCCCCAACUAGGCUUCUUCCCCAUAUUCUUGUGGAUUGGCCACAUCUCCUAUGGGUGAUUCCAUAUUCUUGUGGAUUGGCCACAUCUCCUAUGGAUACCUAGCGUGAACUACUGCCACACAUACUUUCCUUAGACUUUAUAUGCUUUCCCACCCAUGCUUAACCUUAACAUUAUCCUUGUAUACUUUCACUUAUCCUUUCACAUCCUUAUCACUUUCACUUAUCCCUUCUCAUUUUCAUUUACUUUCUCUUUUUAUUUAGACUUGUACUUGGACUCAUUCACUAGACGCCACCCGUUAUCGGUGUCACACACAAUACACAUCGCACUCAAGUUCUUCUUACAAUAACAUUAACAAUCAAUUCUCAUCUAUAUAACUUAGCAUUCAUUUCUCUCUAGCACCCUAGCUUUAAACACAACAACACAUGGGACUACACGUCCAAACAUACAAGCAUCAUUCACCAAUCAUUCAUCACUACCACAACUCAAUUCAGUUCAUCAAGUCCCAUUUAUCAGAAUGAGGGUUCUUAUGCAUCAUGAUCCAUUCAUCUACCAUCCUAGCAAUUAUCAUGUUCUAUCAACCUAACUCUCAAACAGGAUCUAAACAACCUAACUCCAACAUAAAGGAGUAUACAGAAUCAUGAGAGAAAGUUGGGUUCGAGAUUCCACCUUAGUCUAGAUCUGGAUCUGGAUCUGGAUCUGGAAACAAGGAUUUGAGAAGGUUGAGAUCUGGUCACCACCACCACACGGCGCCGGCGAGAGUGAGAGAGAGAGAGAGCGUGCGACGUCGAGGAGAGAGAGAGGAUGACGGCGAGGGGAGAGAGAGAAGAGAGAGAAGAGAGAGAGAGGCGGCGCAAGAGAGAAGGGCAGAGAGCUCGACGGCUAGGGUUUCUGGUCUCCGGGAAUUCUCUGCAGAGCUUCGCUUCAGUUUCUCAGUGAGGCAAAAAGGGAGGCUGCAUCUCCUUUUUAUAGGAAAGAGGAAGGGAAAACCCUAGGUCUUUGCCAAAUGGGCCAUAGAGAAGCUCAUAUUCCUAAAGAAAUUUAUGGGCCAGGAACCGGGCCGUUACAAUCCUCCCCCGUUAAUCGGAAUUCGUCCCCGAAUUCCAAAGCCCACAUCUUUCAGAUUAAUCGUUCGUUACCGAAAUGGAUUCACACAUUCACACAACAAUCAAGGGAGGCAUACAAGGCAUGAUGACUCUACUGGAAUCUUUAAAACCAACGAAGGAAUGUCAUAGAUAAAUAAAAGGAGUAGGACUACAAUAGUUUGUAAAAGAAACUCAGCGCAUCUGCACAAACACAGAAUGCCGUAAAUAAUGGAAAGAACACCAACUCCAAUAACCAAUAAAUGAAAUAAAACCAAUAGCGAAACACGUGUCCUACUCCUACGAAUCGUCCCUAGGAUUUCGUCUAGCCACAUUGACAUGGCGAGGGACAGCGGGUCUCGGAUCCAAUGUCUUCAUCGCCCUCUACGACGCGAUCAUACUCGGCCUCCGCCUCGCCUUCCGCCAACCACUCCUCCGCGUGCAGCGCUUGGUUGGCCAUUCUUCUCACCAGUGCAAAUUCCAGAGGCUCCAGAACUCCCACGAGCUCUUCACGAAUAUCUCCACGUAGCCCAGCCCUAAACAGAUGACACCACUCUUCGGCUGGCUUCGGUUGGCACCUCUUGGCCGUAUCCAAGAACUCCUCCAGGUAAUCUCUCACCUUGCGUGGCUUCUGAACCAUCUAGACCAGUACGUCACAAUCACAUGUCACUGUACGAGGUUUUCGCGGACGUCCCCGUUUUCCCUUAGCGAGUUCCCCGACCGGCACCUCAUGGCCUUCGACGUCCCUACCCGGGUUUCCUCCUUCCAUGCUCGAGAGAGCGGCCACAUUGGCGAAACCUGCCAUCCGCCUCACUAGCGCAAACUCCAGAGGCUCCAAAACACCCCUCAAUUGCGCCUGGAUUUCCUUGCGAAGCCUGUUCUUAUACCAUACGCACCACGUCUCGGCAUUCUUUGGCUUGCACAGCUUAGCUUGGUUGAUGAAGUCCUUGGUGUAUCUCGCGACUGAUCGGUCCUCUUGAGCAUUCUUGAUCAGCACUCCACACUGGCACUUCCCGGUGAACACCCUUGGGGGUCCCCCCGCUGCACUUGGCGGCUUGCAUGGGCGGCCACGCUUCCUCGGGGGCCCCUCUUCGGUUGCAAGCUGGAACCUCGCAUUGCCCUGCAGUAGGCGUUCCUCCAUAGCCAUCCUCUGGAAAUGUGGCAUCAACACUUUACGCCUCACAGUCUGCUCGUGCGGGUACCUGAAUGGAAACUCCCUGUACUGCUCUUCAGGAUCCGGAAACAUGGGUAGUACCAAAUUACCCUCCACGUCACGGUGACGCCUUUGGGCAUACUCCCUGGUGUUCCUCCGUCCGUAGUGCAUACGCGGCAUCCUCCACUCAUAAUGGUCAAGCGAAAACAUCCUGCAAUAAAAUUUCAAUCAGAACCAUAAUAGAAGUAUGGAUAUAGUGGGGUUUUCAAAUAAUCUUUUCACAAUCCAAAAAUACUUAGUAAUAAUCAAAACCAAAUUUUUUUUUUUUUUUUUUUUGAAAACAUCAUAAAUGCUGAUCCCUUAGGACAGAACUAAGGGAUCUUAACCCGCUCUGAUACCAAUUGUAACAGCCCGAUCCCCCGGCGUCCGACCGGGGUUAUCGAAGGGGCGUUAUGGACACGUGUCUACUCAUUUAGACAACCCUACGUGUCCCGUUACUGGUCCCGAGAGACGAGCGCAUAACCUUCUUUGAAAUACCGUCACACCCACAUCCAUAUACUUCUACUUACAGUCCUGCGCACAGGAAAAAUGGAAAUGGAGGAGUGAGCAACAAGUUACUCAGUGAAGUGGCUCUAGACCAGCCUG